CCUUGGUUGAUCCCGCCGGAAGCCACUGCUAUUGGGGUUCGACUAAUCCAUGCGAGUCUAUGGACUUCGGUCCAUGGCGGACGGCUCAGUAACACGUGGCUAACCUACCCUCAGGUGGGGGAUAACCUCGGGAAACUGAGGAUAAUACCCCAUAGGGGAAGAGGUCUGGAAUGAUCCUUCCCUGAAAGGAUAUCCGCCUGAGGAUGGGGCUGCGUCCGAUUAGGUAGUUAGUGGGGUAACGGCCCACCAAGCCUACGAUCGGUACGGGCCUUGAGGGAGGGAGCCCGGAGAUGGGGACUGAGACACGGCCCCAGGCCCUACGGGGCGCAGCAGGCGCGAAACCUCCACAAUGCACGAAAGUGCGAUGGGGGAACCCCAAGUGCCUAUGCACAGCAUAGGCUUUUCUCAAGUGUAAAUAGCUUGGGGAAUAAGGGCUGGGCAAGUCCGGUGCCAGCAGCCGCGGUAACACCGGCGGCCCGAGUGGUGGCCACUCUUAUUGGGCCUAAAGCGUCCGUAGCCGGUCCAGUAAGUCCCUGUUUAAAUCCUACGGCUUAACCGUAGGGCUGGCAGGGAUACUGCU
rnacentral:rRNA from 1 species